ensembl:lncRNA
CUAUAAAGACACAUGCACAUGUAUGUUUAUUGUGGCAUUAUUCAUAAUAGCAAAGACUUAGAACCAACCCAAAUGUCCAUCAAUAAUAGACUGGAUAAAGAAAAUGUGACACAUAUACACCAUGAAAUACUAUGCAGCCAUAAAAAAGAUGAGUUCAUGUCCCUUGCAGGGAUAUGGAUGAAGCUGGAAACCAUCAUUCUCAGCAAACUAUCACAAGAACAGGAAACCAAACACCGUACGUUCUCAUUCAUAAGUGGGAGUUGAACAAUGAGAACACAUGGACACAGGGAGGGGAACAUCACACACUGGGGCCUGUGAGGGGGUGGGUGGUUAGGGGAGAGAUGACACUAGGAGAAAUACCUAAUGUAGGUGAUGGGUUGAUGGGUGCAGCAAGCCACCACGAGACGUGUAUACCUAUAUAACAAAACUGCACGUACUGCACAUGUCACCCAGAACUUAACGUAUAAUAAAUAAAUAAAUAAAUAAAUAAAUAUCCCUCAGAUCAGUUUUGCAUCUUUGGAACAGGGAAGUAGAAUGAGAGUCUUUAGCCCUGAACCUGGUUUUCCUUGAACUUGGCCUUCCAGAAUUUAGUAAUUUUUUUUUUCAGUAGUGGUAUCGAUAUCACCAUCUUACACUCUUUACAAUCUCUAGGGAUGGAUAUAUUUGUCUUUAGGUCAUGUCAUCACAAUGUUACAUACAACUUUGUACCAACUCAUUUGCACUCCCUGAUAUCACAAAGAAAUCAUUCUUGGUUACUCAAGAAAAUAAAUUUGGGAAAUCACUGUUUCCAGUAACACAAUGGGGAAAAGGCAAACAUUUAUUUUUAUUUGCAAAUGCAGUUUCUGCCAAUAGUUAGUGCUCACAAAACCUUUUAAGCUACAGUAACUUUUGGUAAACUCAAUGAACUUUAAAAAAUACCUGAUGGUAAGAAAAUUACAGAAAAAUUUCCAUUACACUGUCGAAAAUGUUUGGAAUCCAAAAUCCACUAUUUUCUGCAAUAAUUUUUAAUAUUUGUUCUGGUUUAAAAAAGAUUUUCUUUUUCUUUUCUUUCUACUUCUACAUAGUCCUGGUUAAAUUAAUACAAUCUGUCUCAUGAACAUUUAGGACUGCAAUUUUCUGGAUUUAGAUUGUUUUUAUUCUCGCAUAUUUAUAUUAAUACUUUAAUAUUUUACAUAAAACAUUGAUUUGCUGUGUUUUAUGAAGCAAAAUCAUAGAUCCUAUUUAUGGAGGCAUUUCCAGUUUGAAGGAAAACUGAAAAUCUAAUCAGUAGAAGGUCAUUUUAUGCCUUUUUUUCCUUUUUAGCAGUAAUAAAUAAUUAGCAACCUAGUAAUUACAAAAGUUCUUAAUUAUGCUUAGAGCAACGAGAGCGCUAUCACAAAUUUAAAUUCAUAUUUGUUACAGUAUAUGAAAUAGUUAAGAAAAGCCUCUGUUUUUCCAGUUUGGUAACAAAUGGCUUUUGUCUGAUGCAUAAUUAAUAGAAACUAAUGAUGACUAUGUAGCUCUUCCAGAGUUUUAAAGGCAAAUCUAUAUUGGCCUACAAUUAACAUGCAAAUUCAUCCAACAAGCAACACAAAAUGUAUUGUAGUAGUCAUUCAUUUUAUCAACAUUCAAGAAGAUCUAGACAGCAGCACGACUCUCCUAUGUCGGAAACACAUUAUAACAUGGGCACAACCGAAGUC